GAUGAGCGCUAGCGGCAGGCCUAAUACAUGCAAGUCGAACGGUGUCUUCGGACAUAGUGGCGCACGGGUGCGUAACACGUAUGCAACCUACCUUACAUUGGGGGAUAGCCUUUCGAAAGGGAGAUUAAUACCGCAUAAGACAGUAGCUGGGCAUCCAGCAGCUGUUAAAGAUUUAUCGAUGUAAGCUGGGCAUGCGUCCAAUUAGCUAGUUGGUGAGGUAACGGCUCACCAAGGCAAUGAUUGGUAGGGGAACUGAGAGGUCAAUCCCCCACACUGGCACUGAGAUACGGGCCAGGCUCCUACGGGAGGCAGCAGUAGGGAAUAUUGGGCAAUGGACGCAAGUCUGACCCAGCCAUGCCGCGUGCGGGAUGAAGGCGUUAUGCGUUGUAAACUGCUUUUAUACAGGAAGAAACGACUCUUGCGAGAGGCAUUGACGGUACUGUAUGAAUAAGCACCGGCUAACUCCGUGCCAGCCGCCGCAGUAAUAC
rnacentral:rRNA from 1 species